rnacentral:misc_RNA from 1 species
GAGGGGGAGCGUCUAAACGAGGAGCGAUUAGAGGCUAGACGCUUCGGCCUAUGGUUUCAAGAGCUGAUGGAGUGUGAUUCAGGGUACUCGUCAGCUAACUCGUCAGCUAUCUCGUUAUAGGCCUACCGCGAUUAGUACGAGAUAUACAAACGGGCGGGGGAAGAACACGCAAUACACAGGGGAACGAGGCUUUCGGGGAUGUGCAACCCCCGGGAGGGCGGAUCAUCAUCACGCACGAUACAGCCCGUUAUUUCAAACGUUUUCAACUACGUGGUCGG